GCGGAUCUGAACUCGGCUCCUCCGGCCAAAAGGGAAGAGAUGAAAAGGUCCCGGGGCUGGCAGCUGGCGAACUGACGGGAGGGGCGCCGGGAGCGCGGUGAGGGGGGCCGCCGAGGCUGACCUGGGCUGAAAUUUAUAUAUUUAAAGAAGGAGCGGUUCGGUCCUGCCUUCCACUGCGGCGCUGAGAGCAGGAGCAGCAGCAGCUCCGGAGCAGAGAAGCGCACACGUGUGUGCGUGCGUGUGUGUGUGUGUGUGUGUGUGUGCGUGUGCGCGCGCUGGGGGCGAGCCCAGCGCACCGCGGGGAGGAGGGUGCGCUUCGCAGGGCGCUCGGUACUCGGUCGGGUGCCGCAGGGGCCGCAGAGGCUGCUGAGGCGGCGCGGAUCCUGCUCUGGGAGCUGCGCUCCGUGGCCUACACCCUGGCGGGCGCGCGCUGACCCGCUUGGUUACUCCACGUUGCUGCCGCCGCCGCUUGCAAACGCUUCCAGCCUCCAGCUCCCUCCUUCUCCUGCUCCUCCUUCUCUUGCUCCAAACGCCAACCCAGCCACAGACGAUCAGCCGUCGCGGUUGCGUUCACCCCCUGCGGAUCACAACGGCAGCCCUUGCGACACCCUGGCUGGGGAGUUUUAUUCCUGAGGGGGUUGCGCAGGGGCUCCCUUGGACUCCCACCCUUUCCCAACCUCUGCUGGCUUCUCCCCAACGUGGAAUUGCUCGCUUAGGGUAGGUAGGCACUUGCCACCCUAAAAUAGAUCCUCUCUGUCUCCUCCUGUCUGCAGCCGGGCAGCCCCUCAGUUUGUUCCUGGAUGACUCCCUAGACCGUCAGGCUAAUAUUCUCCAUCCCCCUCCCCUGCCUCUUUCACUUGCGCUCUCGCUCUGCUGUCUCUUUCUCUCUUUCUCUUUCUAUCUCUAUCUCAAUCUGUCUUUCUCUUGUCAGGAGCUUCUGGAGCUCCGCUCGGAGCGAACCUUCUGCUGCCAGCAGAUAACAUCACGAUCUUGCCGGGGAGGGGAGAUUUAUAAGUUCUCUCUGAACCACGUGUCUGCCUUCAACAAAGUGACGUGCUAGGAUUACAGUCAGAAGUCCUCUCGUUACUUAGACCACGAGCUCUCCCCGAACCGUUGAGGGAGUGUGGAAAUGAGGACCGCUGUGGUUACUCAAAGUCAACAUUUUCAUUUCGGCAUGACUCUGCAGCCAUACUGACCAGACAGAUGAUUUAAACUGGAAACUCUGUUGAAUGUACUCCCAAACCCAAGAUCUCUAUACUGUUCUCUACUUCAGAUGUUCCUGAGUUCAGAAAAGUCACAAAGAACUUUCUAUCACUUUUGGAAUUUAUACUUCAGUUGUGUAUGGGGCCUAGGUUAUUAGUAGAGCACUGAAUAAAUAAAAUAAUAAUAGCUAACAUAUACUACACUUAGUAAUUUGAUGUGUGUUGUGUAUGGUCAUUUAAUCUUCA
rnacentral:lncRNA from 10 species